GCUCUCCUGGACUUGCCAGCCCCAUAAACGCAGUUGCUCUGCUGUGCCUAUACUAUUGGAGCAAAGAAAAAGUGGCUAUCUCUAUGCUCAGUGUUCACAAACCAGUGAGCACUAAGAAUGGUUUAUAGCCUGACAUUU
ensembl:snoRNA